rnacentral:lncRNA from 1 species
UUUUUAUUUCUAAUAUUUUUUAUAUUUAUUUCCUUUUGAUUGAUUCAUGUGCAGUGUAAUGUUCUUGUAGGAUGACAAGUUGUCGCAUCUCGAGCAUGUUUCGUAGGAGAGUGGAAUGAAGUCCAUUCUACUAUUGGGAUAGUAGCAGAUGUGCCAUUGUUCUAUUGUGCAAUUCUGUCCGUUCUUGCUAUAUUCAUGUGUAAGGAAAUGUAUUCAUGAGAUGAGUUAUUGUAUUAUGUAAACCUGAGAGAUGUAUUAUGUGA